rnacentral:rRNA from 1 species
AGAGUUUGAUCCUGGCUCAGGAUGAACGCUAGCGACAGGCUUAACACAUGCAAGUCGAGGGGCAGCAGGGGAGUAGCAAUACUCCCGCUGGCGACCGGCGCACGGGUGAGUAACACGUAUGCAACCUGCCCUUGUCAGGGGGAUAAGCGGAAGAAAUUCCGUCUAAUACCGCAUAAUGCUGCGGGGAGACAUCUCCCUGCAGCCAAAGAUUUAUCGGACAAGGAUGGGCAUGCGGCGCAUUAGCUUGUUGGCGGGGUAACGGCCCACCAAGGCGACGAUGCGUAGGGGUUCUGAGAGGAAGGCCCCCCACACUGGUACUGAGACACGGACCAGACUCCUACGGGAGGCAGCAGUGAGGAAUAUUGGUCAAUGGCCGGGAGGCUGAACCAGCCAAGUCGCGUGAGGGAAGACGGUCCUAUGGAUUGUAAACCUCUUUUGUCAGGGAGCAAAAACUGCCACGUGUGGCAGGAUGAGAGUACCUGAAGAAAAAGCAUCGGCUAACUCCGUGCCAGCAGCCGCGGUAAUACGGAGGAUGCGAGCGUUAUCCGGAUUUAUUGGGUUUAAAGGGUGCGUAGGCGGACAGUUAAGUCAGCGGUAAAAUUGAGAGGCUCAACCUCUUCCCGCCGUUGAAACUGAUUGUCUUGAGUGGGCGAGAAGUAUGCGGAAUGCGUGGUGUAGCGGUGAAAUGCAUAGAUAUCACGCAGAACUCCGAUUGCGAAGGCAGCAUACCGGCGCCCAACUGACGCUGAAGCACGAAAGCGUGGGUAUCGAACAGGAUUAGAUACCCUGGUAGUCCACGCAGUAAACGAUGAAUACUAAUUGUUCGGGUCAAAUGAGAUCUGAGUGAUACAGCGAAAGCGUUAAGUAUUCCACCUGGGGAGUACGCCGGCAACGGUGAAACUCAAAGGAAUUGACGGGGGCCCGCACAAGCGGAGGAACAUGUGGUUUAAUUCGAUGAUACGCGAGGAACCUUACCCGGGCUCAAACGACACAGGAAUGAUCUGAGAAAUCAGGCAGUCCUCCGGGACCUGUGUCGAGGUGCUGCAUGGUUGUCGUCAGCUCGUGCCGUGAGGUGUCGGCUUAAGUGCCAUAACGAGCGCAACCCCCAUCGACAGUUGCCAGCAGGUCAAGCUGGGCACUCUGUCGAGACUGCCGGCGCAAGCUGUGAGGAAGGCGGGGAUGACGUCAAAUCAGCACGGCCCUUACGUCCGGGGCGACACACGUGUUACAAUGGCAGGUACAGCGGGAAGCCACCUGGCGACAGGGAGCGGAACCCGAAAGCCUGUCUCAGUUCGGAUUGGAGUCUGCAACUCGACUCCAUGAAGCUGGAUUCGCUAGUAAUCGCGCAUCAGCCACGGCGCGGUGAAUACGUUCCCGGGCCUUGCACACACCGCCCGUCA